UACAGGGGGUGCAAACGUUGAUCGGAAUUAUUGGGCGUAAAGCGCGCGUAGGCGGCUUUGCAAGUCGGGUGUGAAAUCCCCAGGCUUAACCUGGGAACUGCAUUCGAGACUGCAUUGCUAGAGUAUGGGAGAGGGAGGUGGAAUUUCCGGUGUAGCGGUGAAAUGCGUAGAUAUCGGAAGGAACAUCAGUGGCGAAAGCGACUUCCUGGACCAAUACUGACGCUCAUGUGCGAAAGCGUGGGGAGCAAACAGG
rnacentral:rRNA from 1 species